rnacentral:rRNA from 1 species
CUAAAUAGCCGCAGUUACUCUGUGCUAAGGUAGCAUAAUCACUUGCCUUCUAAUUAAAGGAUAGCAUAAAAGAAUUCACGAAUUUGUAAUUGUAUCAUUAAUAAACAAUUAAACUAUACUAAAAGUAAAAAUACUUUUUUAGCACAAAAAGACGAUAAGACCCUAUGAACUUAACUUCAGUUAAACUAGGGUGGUAAAUAAAAAAAUCUUAACAACACAUAUACAAAAAAAAUAAAAAUCAACAAGUUACCAUAGGGAUAACAGAAUAAUUUAAUUUUACAGCUCUUAUCAAAAAUUAAGAUUAUUACCUCGAUGUUGAAUUAAAAAAUCUAGUAUAAGCAAAAAUAUACAAAGACAGUCUGUUCGACUAUUAAAAUUUUACAUGAUUUGAGUUCAGACCGGUGCAAGCCAGGUCGGUUUCUAUCUUUUUUUAACAUUUUAUAGUACGAAAGGACCAAAAAUGAUUAUAUAAUUCAAUUUUAACAAAUUAUUGUACUAAAAUUAGAAUUUAGCUAACUACCC